rnacentral:lncRNA from 1 species
AGACGUCAUGAUGCACCUGAAAUUUGCCUCCAUCGACACGUCAGUUCUGGAGAUUUGCUUGGUGCUCGUGCCGCGGAUGCUGAUGCUGUUUGCCACCAUCGUAGUGGACCUGCUGCUUGUUAUCGGCAUUGAAGACGAUUCACAGUAUGCGAUGAAGAUCUUCGUGAACUGGUCAGGCUUGGAUGUCCUCGUGGACGCGCUCAUCUGCAUAAGCCUCGUUGUGCU